CCCUUAGAUGUUCUGGGCCGCACGCGUGCUACACUGAGUGGAUCAGCGGGUCAGGUUGCGCGAAAGUGUUUCCUAAUCUUUAAAUCCGCUCGUGAUGGGGAUUGACGGUUGCAAUUUUCCGUCAUGAACGAGGAAUACCUUGUAAGCGCGCGUCAUCAUCCCGCGCUGAAUACGUCCCUGCCCUUUGUACACACCGCCCGUCGCUCCUACCGAUUGAGUGGUCCGGUGAGGCUUUGGGAUCUGAGCGGAAAGAGCGUUUCGCUGUUUCUGCCCGGAAAACUCAGUCGAACCUUAUCAUUUAGAGGAAGGAGAAGUCGUAACA
rnacentral:rRNA from 1 species